AUACGGAGGAGUCCAAGCGUUAUCCGGAUUUAUUGGGUUUAAAGGGUGCGUAGGCGGACUUAUAAGUCAGCGGUGAAAGUUUGCAGGCUUAACUGUAAAAUUGCCGUUGAAACUGUUAGUCUUGAGUGUAAAUGAGGUAGGCGGAAUGUGUUGUGUAGCGGUGAAAUGCUUAGAUAUAACACAGAACACCAAUUGCGAAGGCAGCUUACUGGGAUACAACUGACGCUGAGGCACGAAAGCGUGGGGAUC
rnacentral:rRNA from 1 species